AAAGAAAUAUAUUUCAGUGUCAUAUCUUAUAUGAUUGUGUGUUUGUGCACAUGAUUAGCUAAUUUGUUAAUGCUUAAAUUAUCCUUGUUUGAUCUUGUCCGUUGCACCAAAGUCCAAAAUUAAACUAUGAAUGAUGCAAGAAGAGUUUCCUAGCAAAGGCUUCCAUAUAACAGAGGUGUCAGUCUAUAAGCUCUACGGUGGAACCGUUCCACAUAUAUAAUCAUAUUGCUAGGACUCGGAAGAGACUGAUCAAAUGUACUAGGGUAAAGCAUGCAUAAUCUGAAUAUUCACCAUCCCUUCCUAGUGUUCCGCACUGCAAAUUAUUGUUGUCACAAAUGUGAAACGUCAAGUUUGUUCUGGAUAAAGCAGUGCAUAACUUAUCGCGUAGAUGUGCUGUGAAGAUGCUUAUCUUAUGAUGUAAUUUUCAAUCUUUAGUAGGAUAUGGAUGCAUAACUUGUUUUUUUUCCCUUAGAUGAUUAGAUCUAUCUGCUGAUGGCAUGAGGGGAUUAACACUGCCUCCUCAUUGAAUUCCGUUUGUUGUGCAGGAUGGGUUCAUUUCAGGCGUUGCUUAUACGCAUAAUGGGGGCUAACUGGCAAGUUAGCGAGACGUGCAUGCAAGUCCAGAAGGUAACGACUUGAGUUUCGACAUGGAAGUUCCAAGGCUCCAGCACCAAGCAGUGGGCGACAGUAUAAGAUCCACUUGUUUCUACCACUGGAUAUUUGCAUAUUAGGACCUUGUAAUGUCAGAUAUGGGCAGCUUUAUUUUUGUGCAAUCGAUUUGAAGUCAUCAAGAUUAUUUUUGUGCAAUCGAUAUGGGACCUGGAUAUCAACUAACUUACUCACCCUUAGAUGCAAUCGAUUUGAAGUCAUCAAUAUUAUUAUGUGCUCGAAA